rnacentral:rRNA from 1 species
AGCCUGAACGCUGGCGGCGUGGCUAAGACAUGCAAGUCGCACGGUGUAGCAAUACACAGUGGCGAACGGGUGAGUAAUGAAUCGCUAAUGUACCCCGGACUCUGGGAUAGCUACCCGAAAGGGUAGGUAAUACCAGAUGAGACCCCGAUCAGGCAUCUGAUUGUGCUCAAAGGUCCGCCGGUCUGGGAGCAGGCGAUUUCGUAUCAGCUAGUUGGUGAGGUAAUGGCUCACCAAGGCGACGACGCGUAGCCGGACUGAGAGGUUGGCCGGCCACAUUGGGACUGAGACACUGCCCAGACUCCUACGGGGGGCUGCAGUAACGAAUCUUCCGCAAUGCACGAAAGUGUGACGGAGCGACGCCGCGUGUAGGACGAAGGCCCGUUCGGGGUGUUAAACCGUACUGUACGAAGGGUUAGAAAGUUCUGAUCAACCCCAGAGGAAGGCACGGCUAACUCUGUGCAGCAGCCGC